ensembl:lncRNA
CACACUCACUGAAACACUCGCAGGGUUUCUGGGGGAAUUUAGGCACUCACAGUGUAUGUGUGUAUGUUUAUGCGAGGGGGAGUUUCCAUUGCGAGUGGGACUCCACUGUGGGUAGAGGGAAAUCUUUACAGUGUCGUAUUACAGCACUGUGAGGGGGAAGUGAGAGAUGCUUCUGUACAUCGUUUCUUUGAUUCAUUUGAUAUUUGAACGUGAUCAGUUACAGUCGCUGGACUCCGUGGAAUCAAAUCUCUGUUUUUUUGAAAACGUUUUUUAAAGACUUAACCCAUUCAAGAGCAAUGCAAGGACCAGAACUGGUCGACUCGAGGAGUCGUUUUCGAUUUAUUGAAUCCUGUCUCGGCUUGAUGGGCUGUUUGUGUAUCAACUAUGCGAUCUGGACAUCUCGGUGGCUGGAUGACCGGGGUCUGUGGACCUCACGGAAUGAGACCAGACUGGAUGACAGCCGGACCACUGAAGACAUUGCUAAAGCUCUGGAGGCUGAAAAAGUGUUUGCAGCGGUGGCUUUCCUGAUGUCUGUGAGCGCUGGACUGCUGUGUCUCAUGUUUGCCCUCUGCUGGACGUCUCAAACGGUGCGUUCCUACUCAAACACUCGCUCGCUGCUGAUGGCAGGCCAGGCACUCGACCCGACCACCCUGCUGCUGUUCACACUAGUACCUACAGGUUUUUUCUUUUUUCUCAGCUGGGCGCUUUUUACCCAUCAAUAUAUUGGUGAGAUAAGGGAUGAUGUCAGUCGACUCGGCCCAUCCUAUUGGCUGGGAGUGGUGGGUUGGGCUUCUCUAUUGGCCGUGCUGCCUGUGGUCUUCCUGGCAGAGAAGUUUGUGGUUCCCGACAUCCUGCCGGAGUUAAAAAAUGCUGCCCAAAUGUGGUGGAAGGCUCCGGAGGCUGCACACGCGCGGUCGUUAAGUGAGGGUUGCCAUCGUUCACAGCAUAAGACUCAUCCUGACUUUAGGAGGUAUUUGUCAGUGCCUUGAACGAGAGGAAGAAGGUAGCAAGGAAAUACAGAGAAGAGACUCUGGUCUCGCUUGUCUUCUAGCCAUAUAUAUAUGAGCUGAGCAUAUCCCUCACAACAGGGGUCAAGGACCUGGAUGAGAAACCUGUAACUGCUCUCUGCGAUGUGACACACAAAGCUACAGGUUAUAAGGUUCAGUGCUGGCUUUGACAGUGGCUUCACAGAUGUAUUUGGACGAGGAUGCCCAAAAAUGUGGUUAAUGGACUAUCAGAGUUCACUAUCUAAAUGUAAAACAUAAAGCUGAAAGGAUCUUGAAGUUGCAAAGAGGCUAUUUCUCUAGAACUUUUAAUAGUCGUUGCCUGCAGAUGUUAUUGUGUGAAUUAUACAGUGACUUUCAGGGAUGUAGACUUAAAUAUGCUAAAUUAUUAACUAAAAUAACAACAAAAAACACUAAAAUAGUUUAUAUCUGAUUGGUAAAUCUAUAAUAAAAUUACUAAGAAUGGCA